AAUGAACGCUGGCGGCGCGCCUAAUACAUGCAAGUCGAGCGAGAAGACGUAGCAAUACGUUUGUAAAGCGGCGAACGGGUGAGGAAUACAUGGGUAACCUACCCUAGAGUGGGGAAUAACUAGCCGAAAGGUUAGCUAAUACCGCGUACGCUCCUUGGACUUCGGUUCAGGGAGGAAAGCGAUACCGAGGGUAUCGCGCUCUUGGAUGGGCUCAUGUCCUAUCAGCUUGUUGGUGAGGUAACGGCUCACCAAGGCUUCGACGGGUAGCUGGUCUGAGAGGACGAUCAGCCACACUGGCACUGCGACACGGGCCAGACUCCUACGGGAGGCAGCAGUAAGGAAUAUUGCGCAAUGGGCGAAAGCCUGACGCAGCGACGCCGCGUGGGGGAUGAAGGUCUUCGGA
rnacentral:rRNA from 1 species